GGGGUUAUAGCUCAGUUGGUAGAGCACUGCAAUGGCAUUGCAGGGGUCACCGGUUCGAAUCCGGUUAGCUCCA
rfam:Geminocystis sp. NIES-3709 DNA, complete genome.